UACAGAGGGGGCAAGCGUUGUUCGGAAUUACUGGGCGUAAAGGGCGCGUAGGCGGCCUGCUAAGUCGAACGUGAAAUCCCCGGGCUCAACCCGGGAACUGCGUCCGAUACUGGUUGGCUUGAAUCCGGGAGAGGGAUGCGGAAUUCCAGGUGUAGCGGUGAAAUGCGUAGAUAUCUGGAGGAACACCGGUGGCGAAGGCGGCAUCCUGGACCGGUAUUGACACUGAGGCGCGAAAGCCAGGGGAGCAAACGGG
rnacentral:rRNA from 1 species